GACGAACCGUGCGAACGUUGUUCGGAUUCACUGGGCUUAAAGGGCGCGUAGGCGGCCUCGCAAGUCUGUGGUGAAAGCCCCCAGCUCAACUGGGGAAGUGCCGUGGAUACUGCAAGUCUGGAGGAGGGUAGGGGCAUCUGGAACGCUGGGUGGAGCGGUGAAAUGCGUUGAUAUCCAGCGGAACUCCGGUGGCGAAGGCGAGGUGCUGGACCCUUUCUGACGCUGAGGCGCGAAACCCAGGGGAGCAAACGGG
rnacentral:rRNA from 1 species